UACGUAGGAGGCGAGCGUUGUCCGGAGUUACUGGGCGUAAAGCGCACGCAGGCGGUCCGCUAAGUCUCAGGUGACAGUCCCCGGCUUAACCUGGGGAAGUGUCGUGGGAAACUGACGGACUUGAGGGCUUCAGAGGGACAGGGAAUUCCGGGUGUAGGUGGUGGAAAUGCGUAGAUAUCCGGAGGAACACCAAAGGCGAAGGCACUGUCCUGGGGAGCUCCGUG
rnacentral:rRNA from 1 species